AAUCUAUCAACCAUAAGUGUUGGAUAUGGGAGUUUGUGCAGGCUUAUUUUUCAAGUCAGCUCUCCUUAAAUGUAUUAGUGGUGUUUAGGACUUACUAUAGGUGUGAUAAUGUAUUUUACAUCUCUGGGUAAUUGUCAUCACAUUGCUAAAAAGUGAGGAUUGUUUUUAAG
rnacentral:misc_RNA from 1 species